rnacentral:rRNA from 1 species
ACACGUGGGUAACCUGCCUGUGAGACUGGGAUAACUCCGGGAAACCGGGGCUAAUACCGGAUAACUCAGUUCCUCGCAUGAGGAACUGUUGAAAGGUGGCUUUCACCUACCACUUACAGAUGGACCCGCGGCGCAUUAUCUAGUUGGUGAGGUAACGGCUCACCAAGGCAACGAUGCGUAGCCGACCUGAGAGGGUGAUCGGCCACACUGGGACUGAGACACGGCCCAGACUCCUACGGGAGGCAGCAGUAGGGAAUCUUCCGCAAUGGACAAAAGUCUGACAGAGCAACGCCGCGUGAGUGAAAAAAGUUUUCGGAUCGUAAAACUCUGUUGUUAGGGAAGAACAAGUGCCGUUCGAAUAGGGCGGCACCUUGACGGUACCUAACCAGAAAGCCACGGCUAACUACGUGCCACCAGCCGCGGUAAUACGUAUGUGGCAAGCGUUGUCCGGAUUUAUUGGGCGUAAAGCGCGCGCAGGUGGUUUCUUAAGUCUGAUGUGAAAGCCCACGGCUCAACCGUGGAGGGUCAUUGUAAACUGGGGAACUUGAGUGCACAAGAGAAAAGUGGAAUUCCAAGUGUAGCGGUGAAAUGCGUAGAUAUUUGGAGGAACACCAGUGGCGAAAGCGACUUUCUGGUCUGUAACUGACACUGAGGCGCGAAAGCGUGUGGAGCAAACAGGAUUAGAUACCCUGGUAGUCCACGCCGUAAACGAUGAGUGCUAAGUGUUAGAGGGUUUCUGC